rnacentral:rRNA from 1 species
CGUGUAGGCGGCCUUUUAAGUCUGAUGUGAAAGCCCGAGGCUCACCCUCGGAAGUGCAUUGGAUACUGGGAGGCUGGAGUACCGGAGAGGAGGGUGGAAUUCCUGGUGUAGCGGUGAAAUGCGUAGAUAUCAGGAGGAACACCAGUGGCGAAGGCGGCCCUCUGGACGGAUACUGACGCUGAGACGCGACAGCGUGGGGAGCAAACAGGAUUAGAUACCCUGGUAGUC